UUUCAGCGCGAUGCCUCAUUCUCGGUGGUGCUACCUGAGAAAAAAACAUCGUUGUCUGAGUGGUCAUUUCUAUCUCGCAUUUCCAGAAGCUCAGACAUCGGAUCGAUGGUCUAUAACAAGGGAUCAAGGCAUCGGGAUGUUGUUACCGGGCCCUGAAGUGCUCCAGUCUCCCUGGGCUGCAGACUUGGAGAGUAAUCAGUGGCAUGAGACACUACUGGGCCCAGAGCGCCCCGUGCAUAAAGGCCCGAGCAGCAGCAGUAGCAGGCCUUUGGUGGCAGAUCUCCUCAACACACAUUGUGUCUUUUAUGUCAUUUUUACAGCACAACACCCAUGCAGCACGUUUUUUUUUUUUACUCAAUUGACUCCCUACA